AUAAAGGUCUUAAGGAAGCACUGCGUCUUCCUUACACCCUACACUUACCUCCCCCUCCUCCGCCUCCUCCUCCUCCUCUCCUUGUUCUUCACAUAACUUCUCUUCAUUUUAUUAACCUAACCUAACAUGCAGACAGUGCCAGCCUAACGUAACCCCCCCCCCCACCUGCAGGCAGUACAAGCUGUUCCUUUAUCACACUUCUGAGUCGCCCCCACAGUGGAAGGAACGGGGCAUGGAGGCCAUUAAGAUUCUGAGGAACAAGCAGAAGAAGGCUGUGGAGUUUGUUCAGUGGCAGAAUUAAUGCCAGUGGUUGAGUUCAGAUCCUCCAAGACACACAGACACACACACAGCAGCCCCUCCACCUUCCCACAGCCCUCCACAGCCCCUGACACAGUAUCUGAGACAGGCCCUUCACAGACCACCACAUACCUCACACAUACAUAAGAACAUAAGAACAUAAGAAAUAAGGGAAGCUGCAAGAAGCGACCAGGCUUACCCAUGGCAGUCCCUGUAUGAAACACACCUACCUAUUUCCAUCUGUUAUCCCCAUCCAUAAACUUGUCUAAUCUUCUCUUAAAGCUCUCUAGUGUCCUAACACUAACAACAUGAUUACUGAGUCCGUUCCACUCAUCUACCACUUUUUUUGAGAACAAAUUUUUUCCUAUCUCCAUCCUAAACCCAAAUUUUUCAAGCUUGUACCCAUUAUUUCUUGUUCUACCCUGGUUGCUGAUCCUAAGAAUUUUGCCUACAUCCCCCUUGUUAUAACUCUUAUACCACUCAAAGACUUCUAUCAGGUCCCCUCUUAACCUACGUAUCUCUAAAGAAUGUAAAUUUAACAGCUUCAACCUCGCCUCGUAAGGAAUACUCCUCAUCCCCUGUAUCCUUUUAGUCAUUCUCCUCUGUACUGAUUCUAAUAGACCUAUAUCUUUCCUGUAAUGUGGGGACCAGAACUGCACAGCGUAGUCUAGAUGAGGUCUGACCAGUGCCAAGUAUAACUUUAAUACUACUUCCGGCCUUCUACUUUUAACACUCCUAAAAAUUACACACACCACAGGAGCCUCACAAACAGUCUCACAGCCUUCACAAGCAGCCCCACACUCCACCACAGACACACCAGACCCACAGCCCUUCACCUCACCCACUUCCCAGCCCCCCACAGCCCCCCAGCCACCACAAAUGAAGUGAAAGGAAGGGACUGUGGCUUCACCCAGCCAGCCAGGACAGCCUACAGAGAGGGGGUAGUCCCAGUCAAGUCACAAAAUAUAGGCUUGGUUCUUCCUACAGUUUGAAGUCAAUGAUUGGACAGGCCAGACAGCCUAGUGGCAGAGCUGCAGGUAGCCCUUGUAAGCUUCCUGGUGGCACAGAUGUAGGACAGCUGGGAGCAGUGGAGGUGCCUGAUGGGGCAGCUGUGCCGGGCAGAGGGGCUGCUACUGCUGGGGAGAGCCACACUUGUAUGGUGGUAACACGGAGAGGAAGUGGAAGAAACCUUGGGACGCUCCCAUAACUCAGGAGCAAGAAGUAAACCUUACUGGAAACCUUGUGACUGACAGGUGGCGGUGACUGCAGGAACCAAUUCAGAUGUCUGUCUUGUGUUGGCGAACGUCCUGUCUGCAGUCAGGCCAGUAGUGCCAUGUCGCAGGGUGUGACAUCAGGUGAAGAACCAAAUGGAGAGUGUCUGCAGCCAGUACUGGGUGUGCUGAUGCUGUACACAAGUGUCGAGCCAGGUGCCACAGCACAUGUCAGCUGACUCCACCAGUGUAGUGUCUCUAGUCCAGGAUGCACUGCUGUGUACGACUUGUAUGUCUUUAUAAAUUUGUGACUAUUCUUAUUAUAUUUGUGAAAUAAGACUUGUAUGUCUUUGCUAAUAAAUAAAUAUUUGUGACUAUUCUUAUUAUAUAUGUGAAAUAAAUAUAUAGUUUGCUAACAGUGUGGUAUAAUAGUGUAAAAAUAAAUAUUUGAUAAUUCAUGCAUGCCCCAAAGGUAAAAAAAAAAAAAAAACAGGAUUGUGCCCUCUAAACUUUUAAGAUACCACUUGCACAUAGAAGCCCCGUCCCAGCGACUCCA